rnacentral:lncRNA from 1 species
AAGUCCUGUUGUGAUAUGACUAAUUAAAACUCAGCACGGAUUUAAUGCCAAUAAUAAUUGGGUAGGACAAUGAUUUUCUUAUAGGAUCUCCUUUCCCGACUGGGCAGUCGAUCUCCAGCACCAGGGAGCCUGAAAUACGUUAAACAAUUCCUUCACUCCAACCAGAUUAUCGCUAGCUUUGGCCUCCUUGACAGUUCUGCAUGCUCACG